UCAAAUUCCGCCGAGGUCGACUUUGCCUUUCAUCCUUUCUGGGUCGAUGAAAUAAGUACCAGUUAUGUAGUGGGGUCAAUACAAUAGACUAGCCCCAUUCCCC